rnacentral:rRNA from 1 species
AAUCUACCUUUCACAGAGGGAUAGCCCAGAGAAAUUUGGAUUAAUACCUUAUAGUAAUACGACUUGGCAUCAAGAUGUAUUUAAAGAUUUAUCGGUGAAAGAUGAGCAUGCGUCCCACUAGCUAGUUGGUAUGGUAACGGCAUACCAAGGCUACGAUGGGUAGGGGUCCUGAGAGGGAGAUCCCCCACACUGGUACUGAGACACGGACCAGACUCCUACGGGAGGCAGCAGUGAGGAAUAUUGGACAAUGGGCGCAAGCCUGAUCCAGCCAUGCCGCGUGCAG